GGCAAACUUGAAGAACAGAAACC
rnacentral:piRNA from 1 species